rnacentral:tRNA from 1 species
GGCUGGUUAGCUCAGCUCAUUAGAGCAUGGUGCUAAUAAAGCCAAGGCCACAGGUUCAAUCCCCAUAUGGGCCA